rnacentral:rRNA from 1 species
AGUGAACGCUGGCGGUAGGCCUAACACAUGCAAGUCGAACGGCAGCACAGAGGAGCUCGCUCCUUGGGUGGCGAGUGGCGGACGGGUGAGGAAUACAUCGGAAUCCACUCUGUCGUGGGGGAUAACGUAGGGAAACUUACGCUAAUACCGCAUGCGACCUACGGGUGAAAGCAGGGGAUCUUCGGACCUUGCGCGAUUGAAUGAGCCGAUGUCGGAUUAGCUAGUUGGCGGGGUAAAGGCCCACCAAGGCGACGAUCCGUAGCUGGUCUGAGAGGAUGAUCAGCCACACUGGAACUGAGACACGGUCCAGACUCCUACGGGAGGCAGCAGUGGGGAAUAUUGGACAAUGGGCGCAAGCCUGAUCCAGCCAUACCGCGUGGGUGAAGAAGGCCUUCGGGUUGUAAAGCCCUUUUGUUGGGAAAGAAAUCCAUCUGGUUAAUACCCGGGUGGGAUGACGGUACCCAAAGAAUAAGCACCGGCUAACUUCGUGCCAGCAGCCGCGGUAA